rnacentral:rRNA from 1 species
AGAGAGAGACAUGCGCGCAUAUCAAUAAGCGGAGGAAAAGAAACUAACAAGGAUUCCCUUAGUAACGGCGAGUGAAGCGGGAAGAGCUCAAAUUUGAAAUCUUCAAGGUUUUACCUUGACGAAUUGUAGUUUAAAGAAGUGUUUUCUGCUGAAGUUUUGGUAAAAGUUCUUUGGAAUAGGACAUCAUAGAGGGUGAGAAUCCCGUAUUUGACCAUUAUUUUCAGCUUUGUGAUACACUUUCAAAGAGUCGGAUUGUUUGGGAAUGCAGUCCAAAAUGGGUGGUAAAUUUCAUCUAAAGCUAAAUAUUGGCGAGAGACCGAUAGCGAACAAGUACCGUGAGGGAAAGAUGAAAAGAACUUUGAAAAGAGAGUUAAACAGUACGUGAAAUUGUCAAAAGGGAAGCGUUUGACACCAGUGUUGUUUUCUCGAAAAUCAAUUAAAAAUGGCUCGAUUUUGUAUUGCUUGAGACCUUAAAAGCUCACUGUACAUUUUUCGUGUCUUUUUUAAUGCACUUUUCGUUUAACAAGUCAACAUCAGUUUCUUUUGUUGUAAAAGGGUCAUUGGAAGGUGGCUUUCUUUUCGGAGAAAGUGUUUAUAGCCUUUGGCCUCUGCAAUCGGAGAGACUGAGGUCUGCAGCGUAGACUCUUCGGGGUUAGAUACAUUUGUGCUAAGUUAUAGCUCUUUAUAGACAACUUGUUGACUAUAAUUAGUCUUGUAGCUUACUCGCUUAUGCUAUUUUACCUACGCUUAGGAUGUUGAAGAUGUAGCACAUCAU